GGGGACGUCGUCCAGCGGCCUAGGAUGCGACCCUGUCAAGGUCGAGAUCGCGGGUUCGAAUCCCGUCGUCCCCGCCA
rnacentral:tRNA from 1 species